AUAAUUUUAUUUUUGGUAGAUAGGAAGUCUCACUAUGAUGCCCAAGCUGGUCUUAAACUCCUGGCCUCCCAAGGUGCUAGGAUUACAAGUGUGAGCCAUGCCCAGCCAUCUUUGCUUUUUAAAGCUCUUUCUUAAAUGAAAUUCACAAUAAACCUUACCUUUGAAACCUAAUAGCUUCCUGUUGAUGUUCAUGUUAUAGAAAAGGAGCUUAUUUCUCGGAGACAGUUUGAAGAUUAAAUGAGAUAAUAUAAUACAUAUGAAGUACUUAGCCUCAUACCUGGUACACAGUAAGCACCCAAUAAAUAUGUUGAUGAGAAGGAUUCACACAGUUCUCUUUGCUUUUCAACAAUGUUUCUUUAUAUUUCACUAUUAAUUCUCA
rnacentral:lncRNA from 10 species